rnacentral:lncRNA from 1 species
AAUACAAUAACUGAAAUGAAAAAUUCACUAGAGGGGCUCAAAAUCAGUUUUGGGCAGGCAGAAGAAAGAAUCAAUGAACUUGAAGAUAGAUCAAAUGAGAUUAUACAAUUUGAGGGGGAAAAAAACACUGGGGAAAAGUUUCAUGACAUUAGGUUUGGCAAUGAUUUCUUGAACAUAGCACAUAAAAACACAAACAAAAGAAAAAUAAACAAGUUGGACUUCCUCUAAUUAAGUCUUUCGUGCAUCAAAAGACACUCUCAACAAACUGAAAAGGCAACCUAGGGAAUGGAGAAAAUAUGUGCAAAUCUUUUGUCUGAUAAGGGGUUAACAGCUAGAAUAUAUAAAGAAGUAUACUCAACAACAAAAACAACUCCAUUCAAAUAUGAGCAAAAGAUUUGAAUAGACAUUUCUCCAAAGAAUAUACACAGAUGGUCAAUAAGCACAUGAAAAGAUUCUCAACAUAACCAAAAAUCAGAGAAAUGCACAUUAAAACCACAAGAAGAUACCACUUUAUACCCAUUAAGAUGGCUACUAUUUUUUUAAUAACACACAGAAAAUAACAAGUAUUGGAGAGAUGUAGAAAAAUUGGAACCUUCAUACACUGGUGGUGGGAAUGUGAAAUGGUGCAGCUGCUAUGGAUAACAGUGUGUCGGGUCCUCAAUAAAUUAAACACUGAAUUAGUAUCUGAUCCAGCAAUUCUACUUCUGGGAUAUGCCCAGGAGAGCUGAAAGUAGAGAUUCGGAUAUUUGAACAUGAAUGUUCAGAGAUACAUGAUUCACAACAGAUAAAAGUUGAAAACAACCCAAAUGUCCAUAAGUAAUAUACAGUUAUUCCACUGCAUAUACUUUAAAAACUGGAUGAAAUUCUGACAAAUACCAUGACAUAGAUAAGCCUUGAAGACGUUAUACUAAGGGAAAUAAACCAGACACAAAAGAACAAAUGUUGCAUAAUGUUAACUUAUAUAAGCAGUCAAAUUCACAAAGACGGUUACCAUGGGCUUCAGGGAGUGGGCAGUGAACUGUAUCCAGCCCCUAACACAGUAAGAUGCUACUUCCUGGGGUCUGUUUACAUAUUUUUUC